rnacentral:rRNA from 1 species
GACGAACGCUGGCGGCAGGCUUAACACAUGCAAGUCGAACGCAUCCUUCGGGGUGAGUGGCAGACGGGUGAGUAACGCGUGGGAACGUGCCCUUCAGUUCGGGAUAACCCAGGGAAUCGUGGGCUAAUACCGGAUACGUGCGAGAGCAGAAAGAUUUAUCGCUGAAGGAUCGGCCCGCGUCUGAUUAGCUAGUUGGUGGUGUAAUGGCCCACCAAGGCGACGAUCAGUAGCUGGUCUGAGAGAGUGAUCAGCCACAUUGGGACUGAGACACGGCCCGAACUCCGACGGGAGGGAGCAGAGGGGAAUAUUGGACAAUGGGCGAAAGCCUGAUCCAGACGUGCCGCGUGAGUGAUGAAGGCCUUAGGGUUGUAAAGCUCUUUCGUCCGGGACGAUAAUGACGGUACCGGAAGAAGAAGCCCCGGCUAACUUCGUGCCAGCAGCCGCGGUAA